rnacentral:tRNA from 1 species
GCCGGCGUAGCUCAACGGUAGAGCACAGCUUUCGUAAAGCUGGGGUUGAGGGUUCGAUUCCCCCCGCCGGCU